CUUGGACUUCGUGGUCUAAAAUCACGUUUUGUUCUGGGCCUUUUGUUGUCUGGCAUAUUUUGGUUUCUUGCGAUCAUCUGAGUUUACUGUACCUCAUGGCACUUUCUAUUCUCCAUCUCUUCACUUAUCCCAACAUGAUGUUGCCUUUGACCGAAGAGUUGAUCCGUCUUGUCUUCAAGUGCUUAUCAAAGUAUCUAAAACCGAUCCCUUUCGGCAAGGGUGCACUCUGACUUUGGGUCAGGGUCAUUCUCCCUUGUUUCUGGUCGAAUCGCU